UCCGUGUUAUCCACGGCAGUCUCCUAAGAGUGCUCAACUGAAUGGCAGCAACAUAGGAAAAGGGUUGCGCUCGUUAUAGGACUCAACCUAACAUGUCACCACACGAGCUGACGACAGCCAUGCAGCACCUGUCUCCUUGUCGGUUUUGCCGAAAGCUGCAUCUCUGCAGCGGUCAAGAAGAUGUCAAACCUAGGUAAGGUUCUUCGCGUUGCUUCGAAUUAAACCACAUGAUCCACCGCUUGUGCGGGUCCCCGUCAAUUCCUUUGAGUUUUAGUCUUGCGACCGUACUACUCAGGCGGAGUACUUAAUGCGUUAGCUCCGACACGCCAGGGGUCAAUUCCCGGCAUAUCAAGUACUCAUCGUUUACAGCGUGGACUAC
rnacentral:misc_RNA from 1 species